rnacentral:lncRNA from 1 species
CUUUAAGCCUCUGAAGCAUGAUACCAAUACAGAGUAGUCACCCAAGUUGAUGUUAAGAAUAUGAAAUGGGGGAUAAAUUGACACCAUAGGAUUGGAACUAACAUUUAUAGUGUUUACUAUGUGCUAGAUACUUUUAUUGUUUUAUUGAAUUCAUACGCUAGUUCUAAAAUGUAUUUACUGCUAUUCUCUUUUUGCAGGAGAGGAAACUGAGCUUUAUAGAAAGACUUGCUCUAGUUAUUUGGCUACUAAGAAAUGGAAGAAAGAAUGGAACCUAGGCCUUUUCUCUUCUCUGGAAGGUUAAAGCCUGGGGUUUCAACUGUGCACUUCAGCAUUUGGACAUGUCCAAGAAGC